rnacentral:rRNA from 1 species
UACGUAGGGUGCGAGCGUUGUCCGGAAUUAUUGGGCGUAAAGAGCUCGUAGGCGGUCUGUCGCGUCGGUCGUGAAAACCUGCAGCUUAACUGUGGGCGUGCGGUCGAUACGGGCAUGACUGGAGUUCGGCAGGGGAGACUGGAAUUCCUGGUGUAGCGGUGAAAUGCGCAGAUAUCAGGAGGAACACCGGUGGCGAAGGCGGGUCUCUGGGCCGAUACUGACGCUGGAGGAGCGAAAAGCCGUGGGGGAGCGAACAGG